rnacentral:rRNA from 1 species
AGCAGUCGCCACGGUAAUACGGAGGGUGCAAGCGUUAAUCGGAAUUACUGGGCGUAAAGCGCACGCAGGCGGUUUGUUAAGUCAGAUGUGAAAUCCCCGAGCUUAACUUGGGAACUGCAUUUGAAACUGGCAAGCUAGAGUCUUGUAGAGGGGGGUAGAAUUCCAGGUGUAGCGGUGAAAUGCGUAGAGAUCUGGAGGAAUACCGGUGGCGAAGGCAGCCCCCUGGACAAAGACUGACGCUCAGGUGCGAAAGCGUGGGGAGCAAACAGGAUUAGAUACCCCGGUAGUCCCUGUCUCUUAUAC